rnacentral:rRNA from 1 species
UCCUCCCUCUUUCUUCGUGCUUAACACAUGCAAGUCGAACGGAAAGGCCCUGCUUUUGUGGGGUGCUCGAGUGGCGAACGGGUGAGUAACACGUGAGUAACCUGCCCUUGACUUUGGGAUAACGUCAGGAAACUGGGGCUAAUACCGGAUAGGAGCUCCUGCUGCAUGGUGGGGGUUGGAAAGUUUCGGCGGUUGGGGAUGGACUCGCGGCUUAUCAGCUUGGUGGUGGGGUAGUGGCUUACCAAGGCUUUGACGGGUAGCCGGCCUGAGAGGGUGACCGGCCACAUUGGGACUGAGAUACGGCCCAGACUCCUACGGGAGGCAGCAGUGGGGAAUAUUGCACAAUGGGCGGAAGCCUGAUGCAGCAACGCCGCGUGCGGGAUGACGGCCUUCGGGUUGUAAACCGCUUUCGCCUGUGACGAAGCGUGAGUGACGGUAAUGGGUAAAGAAGCACCGGCUAACUACGUG